rnacentral:rRNA from 1 species
UAGGGAAUAUUGCAAAAUGGGCGAAAGCCCGAUGCAGCAACGCCGCGUGGGCGAUGAAGGCCUUCGGGUCGUAAAGCCCUUUUUGAGGGGAUGAGGAAGGACAGUACCCUCAGAAUAAGCCUCGGCUAACUACGUGCCAGCAGCCGCGGUAAAACGUAGGAGGCGAGCGUUAUCCGGAUUUACUGGGCGUAAAGCGCGUGCAGGCGGAUUGGAGAGUUGGAUGUGAAAGCUCCCGGCUUAACUGGGAGAGGUCGUUCAAUACUUCCAGUCUUGAGUGCAGUAGAGGGAAGUGGAAUUCCGGGUGUAGUGGUGAAAUGCGUAGAUAUCCGGAGGAGCACCAGUGGCGAAAGCGGCUUCCUGGACUGUAACUGACGCUCAGACGCGAAAGCUAGGGUAGCAAACG